AAAAAGGGUGGUCUGUUAGCUAAAUAUGCCACGCCUGCCCUCGGAUGGUGAGUGCUGUAUGGCUAUCAAGACAUAUGGCCCACAUAAUUUGUGAUUCUACUAAUCCUUUAAGGCUUUAGAUCAUA